rnacentral:rRNA from 1 species
UACGGAGGGUGCAAGCGUUGUCCGGAUUUAUUGGGUUUAAAGGGUGCGUAGGCGGUCAAUUAAGUCAGUGGUGAAAUCCUACAGCUCAACUGUAGAACUGCCAUUGAUACUGGUUGACUUGAGUACAGACGAGGUAGGCGGAAUUUAUGGUGUAGCGGUGAAAUGCAUAGAUACCAUAAAGAACACCUAUAGCGAAGGCAGCUUACUAGACUGUAACUGACGCUGAGGCACGAAAGCGUGGGGAGCGAACAGG